rnacentral:rRNA from 1 species
GACGAACCGAGCGAACGUUGUUCGGAAUCACUGGGCUUAAAGGGUGCGUAGGCGGGCUGCCAAGUUUGGGGUGAAAUCCUCCGGCUCAACCGGGGAAGUGCCUUCGAUACUGCGGGUCUCGAGUCCGGGAGAGGUGAGUGGAAUUCCUAGUGUAGAGGUGAAAUUCGUAGAUAUUAGGAAGAACACCAGUGGCGAAGGCGGCUCACUGGCCCGGUACUGACGCUGAGGCGCGAAAGCGUGGGGAGCAAACAGG